GAUGCUACCUAAUGACAUUUCUCACUUCUUUGCAGGUCGCGUAAGAAUUGAAGCACCAACCGACCAAAAAAAAAAGAAUUGGAGCAUCAACGUCAUUCACUGGGGUUGCUCGGUUCUUCCUGUGAAGUUUCACGCUCGGAUGAUAAGGUCUUCUCAAUCAAUCACGAUCAAAAAGUUACUGCCUGAGAAUCUGUUUGUAAACUCACCGCAACUGUAGAGAGUUUUCUUGAUGGAGAACAGUAACUAUCCACAAACUUAUCCGGGUUUCGAGUACUUCCCUCCUCCAUCUGCAUGGAUCGAUCCGAAUUCUGUAUCAUCCGACGACAAUAACGCUCCAACGUGGGUCAUUGUCGGUGUAGUCAUUGUUGUCGUCAUGCUCUGUGGUUUCCUGUUCUACUAUAUCCAGAGGCGAGAGAAGAAAAUCCGGGAAAAAGCGGCCUCAAAAACAAUAAAGCCACCUCCUCCAACUACGCCAGAGGAGAAGAAGGAUCCGCCUCCAACUAAGAAGAAACCUGAUGCUACGCCGAAAAAUCCGGCUACACCCGCCAACCCGCCGCCAAUGGGCAUCCCGAUUUCGUACCCAGGUCAUUGCCCAGCAUGCGGACAUGGAGGAGGACUACAUACCUUUCUCAUAUACUUGCCCUCUGUGUAAGCAUAAGAUAGAAUGCAAUGUAGCGUAUCCACCCAAAAAAUAAGACAUAAACUAGAGUAGUUUUUCUCAUCUUAUUGUAUGCUUAUGGAUUUAGAAGCUUCUAUGAAUGUUCGUGUGUUAAACUUUAAUGAUGCAUGGGGAUAGAUCAUCCAUUCUACCGUAGACAUUGGAGAUUUCACGUAAUGAAUAACUUUUGUGUUUAGAGGGUUUAUCG